CUCUAUGAAUCUUUACUUCCUAGAACUGCAAGGCUGGGUCUGCUGUAGGAGCCCACCAAGGAAGAACAGAAGGAAGACUUCAAAGCCUGCUUCCUGACCCCGGCCCACAGCCAGGCUCCAGCUGUUCCUGCUUUCUUCAGAAAUUCUUCCUGAAGACUGAACUGUCUAGCUUUUAGCUGGGUUGCUCAUUGGAGAAGGAAGAGUGCCUUCCAGAACCACCAGGGACACAGAGAGGAAGGUCCUUGGGCCUAAGGUUUCUGCCUUAGGCAGGAAACUUGCUUGCUGGAUUCCAGAACUUGAGCAGCUGCAGUUGGGGGACCUGUGUUUGUCUAAUCCUUCAAGGCUCCCCUCACCUGGUGGGCGACCAAAGGGAAUUUUCUUCUGCAGCUCUCUGUACUCUCUGAGUCUUGGCUUCUGAGCCUGGCAGCUCCAAACGUUCAGAUCUGCCACUUGAGAGACCUGUGACUCCAGCUUUGGAGACCCACUGCUCCAGAGACCGUCUGCUCCAGCCUGCUUCGAGACCUGCUGGAGACAGAGAAGACUUGCUGCUUCUGUUACUCCCACUGCUGAUCUGCAGGCUUGCUCUGCAAGGCUCUGCUCUUUAUUGGCAUCCGAAGGCCUCCAGCCUUUGAGGUGUACCAGUUCCCCAGAGUUCUAAUACUUCUCAGCGCUACCCCGGAUACCUGUUUCAACUUUUAUCCCAUUUAAAGGGAACUAACACUAAAGUGCCCCCAGUCUGUGCUCUUCCCUGUCUGCCUACUUCAUUCUUGGAGAAAGGUGGGACAAGAACCUGGUUGGAGACAGAUGGUAAACUCCUUCAGAAGGGCUGUUGUAAAGCCAUGGGAAAAGUCCUUGAGUUUGCACAUCAAGACUUCCACAGUUGGCCCAUACAUAUACAGCCACCCAAUUAGACAAGAUGGAUGAAGCAAAGAAGUGCAGGCCGACAGGAACAGGAUGUAGAUCUCUCCUGAGAGACACAACCAGAAUACAGCAAAUACAUAGGCGAAUGCCAGCAACAAACCACUGAACUGAGAACGGGACCCCCGUUGAAGGAAUCAGAGAAAGGACUGGAAGAGCUUGAAGGGGCUCGAGACCCCUUAUGAACAACAAUGCCAAGCAACCAGAGCUUCCAGGGACUAAGCCACUACCUAAAGACUAUACAUGGACUGACCCUGGACUCUGACCUCAUAGGUAGCAAUGAAUAUCCUAGUAAGAGCACCAGUGGAAGGGGAAGCCCUUGAUCCUGCCAAGGCUGGACCCCCAGCGAACGUG
ensembl:lncRNA